AGUUUAUAUCAACAAGUCAGAAGCCUUACGAGGAGGGGGAUGAGCGCGGAUUGAAGCUUCUGCAAGCUAUCUUGAAGCCGUUAAUGCUUCGAAGAAUAAAAGAUUCAACUGAUAAAGAAGGAAGGUAAGCUAUCAUGCAGGCGUUCCUGUACGAAAUAGGAACUCAUAACUGUACCAACAAGUAAUCGGUUUCGAAUAAAUGUCGAGGAGCAGUGGAAGGAGUCGUCCAAAGUCGAGGCUCUGCUGCACCACCUCCAGACGUUAAGUGAGGCCGGGUCGAAAAGCGUUGAUUUUAGUCAGUGGACAGCGUUUCUCGACUUGUUAGAGAUACCAUUGAAAAGGAAGACCUUCUGUUUCGUCCGCUUGGACGGAACACUAUCGCAGCGUCAGCGAGAACAAGUGCUCAAAAACUUCAGCAAUAUUCCAGCCGUGGCCGUCAUGCUCUCAUGCUUUUCUCAUGGUACGCGCUAUAGUUUUCUUUUUUAGCCAUCUUCCGAGUCGAGAAUGUGGACGAUCGAGCAUCGGUCAGACGAAGAACGUAUCGAUCAAGCGAUUCAUCGUCAAAGUAAGCGCCACUUGAAACUCUCUUUGACGUUUCUCAUGUCUCUAGAGGAGGAGAGAGUGCAACAGGUCCAAGCGAGGAAGCAGCGAUUGAUCGGGGGCUCUCACAGACGAAGAGGUGCGAAGCGCUCGAAUCGCGGAGCUCAAAAUGCUAUUUAGAUGAGAAAAACUGGAGUCCUUCGCAGUUUUUUUAACUUAUUAUAUCAGUAUACAUAGUUAAAGAGGGGAAUAUGCUUCUAGCAUCGGCGCGUAUAUUCUUCGGAUAGUUUACUGAAUGAAUGUGUCAUAGGCUAUCGAUAUAGGAGCUAUGGCUCAUUUCUAGGUUUCUUCGACAGCGAAGGAGCAGGCGAUCGCGUCGCAAGCGGCGACGAGCAAGGCGAUCGCGUCGAUUCCUCUCGUCUCCGCGGCCGGGGCGGCUAGAAAGCCGGGGCGCAUUCUAGAGUUUCGGGGUUUCUGGGGCGAUCAGUCAUGUAGCGGGCAGUGAUUCUCUCACAGGGAGCUCAGCCAUGACGUGGAAUCCGCCACAAGUUCCUCCCAGCUUGUCCGCCUCGACUGCCACUACUCAGGCCGAGGAUGAACUGGGCGUGGAUGUGUCGUCUCCCAGCGGCGAUUUGCUACUCCAUAUUCUCAACAGCGGUGGGGGCGACGAGCAGCUGAGGAGCAGUAGCAGCUACAGGACCCAGCAGUCGCAGCUCACGGUCCCUGCCACAGCUUUGCUCCUUCUGGAGCACCUGGAGGAGGAGGAGAAGGUCCUCCUCCACGACCACUCUACGUCCCAGCAAUAAGAUUUGGUGGGUGGUCACCUCACUUCCAGGAGCACCAAGACCCACUUUUCCCUUCGGAUCCAUUCUUGACUCCGUCGGACCACUGAUUUCUACGCUCGUUUGCUCCUCUUCCAGUCGAGAGACCGUUCCAUCCGCCAGUGCCGUAUCCUUUUCCAAAUGCUCCGACUUUCCAGCCUGCUGAUAAUGUGGUUCAUCCGCCGCAUUCCUCUGGGGAGCUUAAACCUCGUCCUGGCCUUCACUUCGGGUCUCCGGUGUUUGGACCCAGCGCAGCAGAGACCUCGGACUCCAAACGCGCCCCAGAGCAGCCGAGGAGAUCGGUUACACCUGCGAAGGAUGACAAGCAACAAUUCCACGGCAAUGGUUCCGAGCUCCUUCAGUUGUUACAGGGUGGUCCUGGUCGUGUGAAGCCCAGCCUCCACAAAGGUGGAUGCUACACAGGACAGUGGGGAUUCUGGAGAGCCAUCACAGAAAGGAAGUCCAUCUGCUGUUCACGGCCCCAUAGGACCGCCGAGGCGUCAUGUCGUUUCUCCUCCGCAGAGUCCAAAUGACCUCCUUGGACGUUUGUGGGCUGCUCUUCCGUCGUCAAGCCACACUUUGUUUGACGGAGAAAGCGAACGCAAGACGUCAGCCCGGAGCUUUGGCGUUGAAGCGAACGAGAUGUCCCGGGAAGUCGAUGGAGGUGGAGCUGCUGGUUUCGCACUUUUGAAGCGAAGGGGAUCGGAGCCUGCCGCCUCGCACUACCUUUAAACGGCUACGACUAUAACGACUCUAAGAAAAUGAUAAGCCGAGGACAAACUCGGCAUCCGGACGACUACAGGACUAUCGUGGGAGAUACGUAAAUGGAGAGGCCGAAUUUGAGGCCGGAGGCGAUGACUUUAGAGGUGCGGGAAGGCGUCGAGGUACCGGUCGUGCAGACGCCAGACGCGGUGGUCGGGGUGCUGUUGGCCAGUGGAUUGCGGUAAAUGAGAGGCAUAAAGAUGCUGAGCCAAGUGACAUCACCUCCUGCGAUAUCUCUGAUGGAAGGGACGAGUCGCUUAAAUCUUCAAACGGGACUUAGUCGAAUGCUAGGAGAAAACAUCAACAGGAAUGGAGGAUAAAACAGGCCGACUCAAAGGCAGCAUUUCCAGCGGAGAAAAAACCGGACUACAAGGUUGCGAAGGCACGGUCUUUGGCAUCUCAACUUGAACGUCCAGGCUUGCCAUCGGGAAGUACGCAGAACUCUUCCGUUGGUGCGGCUUUUGAGGAGUCCAAACAGAGGCUCCAUAAUCUAGAUGCUUUGGAAGGAGAAGGCGUGACGACCUCUCUAGAUCUCGAGGAGCUACAAAUUGACGGUCACCGUCGUCAGGGUAAAGCUCCACAGUUUUACAAGCCGAAGGAGAACCGUUUCAGGGAGUCCAGACGCGUCAUUCCCAUGCACAGACGUGAUCUUCUUUACCGACUGGAUCUGCAGAAUUUCACUUGUGAGCUUUUCUGCCUCUACGACGAGCUUAUACCAACCGGAGGUCCGGAGAAGGAAGUACUUCUCGAAGCUUGAGUCCCUUUUCGAGAGGGAGAUCCCGGGAACACGGCUCUUUCUUUUCGGAUCUUGUGUUAAUGCGUUUGGAGUUUGUAACAGUGACAUCGAUGUUUGCCUCUCCGUUGAUGAGGAAGAACCAAACAAGAUCGAGCUUGUUGUUCAAAUGGCAACUAUCCUCGAGUCAGAUGCCAUGUUAAACGUACAGGAGGCAUAGGACAACGUGACUCAUGGUACCCGCUAUAGUUUCUUAUCCGAAUAUUUAACCAUCCUCCGAUCCAGAGAACUUUCCUUUCAUUGUUCUUGGCAACAAGGUCGAUGUUGACGGAGGGAACAGUAGAGUGGUUUCCCACAAGAAAGCCAAGCCUGGUGUGCUUCCAAGGGAAACAUUCCAUACUUUGAGGCGUCUGCCAAGGAAGACUACAAUGUGGAGGCUGCGAUUCAAUGCAUUGCCAAGAAUGCCUUAACCGAGGAAGACUUCAGCUAUCUUCCAGACACGAUGGACAAUAAAAUACUCAAAACCACGAGAGUAAAGUAAUAUCCUGAGAAUACGAUUUGUAAGAAAAAAAGAAAAUGUUUCUUCU